rnacentral:rRNA from 1 species
GACGAACGCUGGCGGCGUGCUUAACACAUGCAAGUCGAACGGAAAGGCCCUGCUUUUGUGUGGUUCUCGAUUGGCGAACGGGUGAGUAACACGUGAGUAACCUGCCCUUGACUUUGUGAUAACUUCAGGAAACUCGGGCUAAUACCGGAUAUGAUCUCCUGCUGCGUGGUGUGGGUUGGAAAGAUUCGGCGGUUGGGGAUAGACUCGCUGCUUAUCAGCUUGUUGGUGGGGUAGUGGCUUUCCAAGGGUUUGACGGGUAGCCGGCCUGAGAGGGUGAACGGGCACAUUGGGACUGAGAGACGGAGCAGAAGCGUACGGGAGGCAGCAGUGGAGAAUAUUGCACAACGGGCGGAAGCCUGAGGUAGCAACGCCGCGUGCGGGAUGACGGCCUACGGGGUGUGAACAGAUUUGGACUGAGACGAAGCGUGAGUGACGGUAAUGGGUAAAAAAGCACCGGCUAACUACGUG